AACUUUUUCUUUCUUUUUCCAAGCUUAACCUGAACAUGUGCACAUCUAAUAACAUAACCACCACUGGAGUCCUCAUCAAAUGCUCCAAUGGGGUAUUUCAUCAUUCGAUAAGCUUGGACUAUCAAAUACAUCAUAAAAACAUUUCUAUAGAUCAUGUGCCAAGGGGAUAACCAUAAACAUAGGGUCAAGCACAUACUAAUCCUCAAUCAUCAUCAUCAUUACAUAUCAUAACUAUACAUUACUCAUUCAUUACAUUACAUGGUCAUAAAUACUCAUUACAUCAUGUUCAUGUCCACUAUUAUCUAUUACAACAUACAAGGCUUGACUUCACUCUAGCCGACUUCUUGACCUAUCCUGUACCUGCAACUCUGGGGAUAAAGGGAGUGGGGUGAGCUACUAGAGCCCAGUGAGCAGAAACUAAAAACAUUUGUUUUAAUUCCUCCCUUUUUAGGUAUAUUAUUAUUUAUUUUAUUAUUAUUAUUAUCAUUUAACUUUUUCUUUCUUUUUCUUAUUCAUGCUUUCAUGUAUGCGCCAUAACACAAACAGUUCACAACAAGGAUGAACUUGUCACCAUAUAGCCCCAAUCUUUCUUACUCAUACAUGCCGGGGGCGUAGAGCCGUAGCAGGCACACCCGGACUUUCAUAAUCAGUCAUAGUGCCAGGGGCGUAGAGCCGUAGCAGGCACACCUGGACUCACAUAGGCUAUCAUGACAUACAAGGGCUAAUGGAUCAUUCAACAUUCAUCCACAUCAACAACAAAGUAUGCAAUGCAACAUAUUCGUGAAUUCUAAUGCAUACAACCUAAUAUUGCAUGGCAUAAUGAUGCAUGGGCAAUGCUUUAUGAUUCAUUCAUUUAUUCCUUUACUUUAAAGCUUAAGGGGUUGUUCCACUCACCUGGUAACUGAAGCUUUA
rnacentral:lncRNA from 1 species